GAUGAACGCUGGCGGCGUGCCUAAUACAUGCAAGUCGAGCGAACGGACGAGAAGCUUGCUUCUCUGAUGUUAGCGGCGGACGGGUGAGUAACACGUGGAUAACCUACCUAUAAGACUGGGAUAACUUCGGGAAACCGGAGCUAAUACCGGAUGAUAUUUUGAACCGCAUGGUUCAAAAGUGAAAGACGGUCUUGCUGUCACUUAUAGAUGGAUCCGCGCUGCAUUAGCUAGUUGGUAAGGUAACGGCUUACCAAGGCAACGAUGCAUAGCCGACCUGAGAGGGUGAUCAGCCACACUGGAACUGAGACACGGUCCAGACUCCUACGGGAGGCAGCAGUAGGGAAUCUUCCGCAAUGGGCGAAAGCCUGACGGAGCAACGCCGCGUGUGUGAUGAAGGUCUUCGGAUCGUAAAACUCUGUUAUUAGGGAAGAACAUAUGUGUAAGUAACUGUGCACAUCUUGACGGUACCUAAUCAGAAAGCCCCGGCUAACUACGUG
rnacentral:rRNA from 1 species